UACGUAGGCAGCAAGCGUUGUUCGGAGUUACUGGGCGUAAAGGGUGUGUAGGCGGUUCUUUAAGUUUGGUGUGAAAUCUCCCGGCUUAACCGGGACGGGUGCGCCGAAUACUGAGGGACUAGAGUACGGGAGAGGAAAGUGGAAUUCCUGGUGUAGCGGUGAAAUGCGUAGAUAUCAGGAGGAACACCGGUGGUGUAGACGGCUUUCUGGACCGUAACUGACGCUGAGACACGAAAGCGUGGGUAGCAAACAGG
rnacentral:rRNA from 1 species